rnacentral:tRNA from 1 species
GCCGAAGUGGUGGAAUUGGUAGACACGCCAUCUUGAGGGGGUGGUGGGCGUAAGCCCGUGGGGGUUCGAGUCCCCCCUUCGGCACCA